rnacentral:rRNA from 1 species
UACGAAGGGGGCUAGCGUUGCUCGGAAUCACUGGGCGUAAAGGGUGCGUAGGCGGGUCUUUAAGUCAGGGGUGAAAUCCUGGAGCUCAACUCCAGAACUGCCUUUGAUACUGAGGAUCUUGAGUUCGGGAGAGGUGAGUGGAACUGCGAGUGUAGAGGUGAAAUUCGUAGAUAUUCGCAAGAACACCAGUGGCGAAGGCGCUCACUGGCCCGAUACUGACGCUGAGGCACGAAGGCCAGGGGAGCAAACGGGG